UUAAAUUGAAGAGUUUGAUCAUGGCUCAGAUUGAACGCUGGCGGCAGGCCUAACACAUGCAAGUCGAACGGUAACAGGAAGCAGCUUGCUGCUUCGCUGACGAGUGGCGGACGGGUGAGUAAUGUCUGGGAAACUGCCUGAUGGAGGGGGAUAACUACUGGAAACGGUAGCUAAUACCGCAUAACGUCGCAAGACCAAAGAGGGGGACCUUCGGGCCUCUU
rnacentral:rRNA from 1 species